rnacentral:tRNA from 1 species
GGGGACGUAGCCUAGCUCGGUUAUGGCGUCAGCACUUGUUGUGCCGCUAACGGCUCCAGAAGCUAAUAGUAUAAUUUAGGUAAAACUGACUUAAUGGAUGAUGUACCUUUGGAGCAGCAGUGACCGGGAGAUCGUGGGUUCAAAUCCUGCCGUCCCCA